GGGUCUUUAGCUCAGCAGUAGAGCGGCAGACUUCGGUGCAAAUUCUGAAGCUACGUUUUCCAACGUUUAUUCUGCAGGUCGCGGGUUCAAUCCCCGUAGGACUCU
rnacentral:tRNA from 1 species